rnacentral:sRNA from 1 species
GUUUUUAUUACGAUUAUAUCCCAACACGAAUAAUCAUUCCAGUACUGAAAUUUGGUUAUUCUUAGCUGUGUGAUUUGGGCAAGAAACUUAACUUUUCUGUGCCUCAGCUUCUUCAUCUAUAAACAGAAAAAUCAUAGUACAUCAUAGGGUUGUUGUAAGCAUUAAUUAAGUUAAAAUAGGGAAAGUGCUUAGAAGGGUUCCUGACAUACCUUAAUUUCCUGUGUUUUCUAAUGUACACACACACACACACACACACACACACACACACACACACACUAGAGUGAAUUCCAACUCAUUUCAUUUGAAUUCAGGCAUUGAGAUGAAGUUCAAGAAUAUGCUGUUUCCUAUGAUUGUCUGCCCAGCCUGGAUCCCUGAGCUGAAUUCGGUAGAACAUGGACCCGACGGUAUCUCCUUUGGAGCUGCUUGCCCCCUGAGCAUUGUGGAAAAAACCCUGGUGGAUGCUGUUGCUAAGCUU